GGAGGUAUUGCUCACUGGCAAAGCUCCUGCCUGGCAAGCAGAAGGCCUGGAUUUAAUCCACAGUACUUUCA
rnacentral:tRNA from 1 species